rnacentral:rRNA from 1 species
GCAGCAGUUAGGAAUCUUCCACAAUGGGCGAAAGCCUGAUGGAGCGACACCGCGUGAAGGAUGAAGGCCCUAGGGUCGUAAACUUCUAAAAGAGGGACGAUAAUGACGGUACCUCUUGAGAAGCACCGGCUAACUCCGUGCCAGCAGCCGCGGUAAUACGGAGGGUGCAAGCGUUAUCCGGAAUCACUGGGCGUAAAGGGCGCGUAGGUGGUCUGUUAAGUCUGGCGUUAAAGCCUGGGGCUCAACCCCAGAUCAGCGUUGGAUACUGGCAGGCUAGACGGUUGGAGAGGCGAGUGGAAUUACCAGUGUAGCGGUGGAAUGCGUAGAUACUGGUAGGAACACCCAUUGCGAAGGCAGCUCGCUGGACAACACGUGACACUGAGGCGCGAAAGUGUGGGGAGCAAACCGGAUUAGAUACCCGGGUAGUCCACACCCUAAACGAUGCAUACUUGGUAUUGGCCCGUUGGGGUCAGUGCCGGAGCUAAC